GAAACCAACAGGGAUUGCCUUAGUAACGGCGAGUGAAGCGGCAAUAGCUCAAAUUUGAAAUCUGGCGCUUGGGUCCGAGUUGUAAUUUGCAGAGGAUGAUUUUGGUUAGGUACCUUCCGAGUUCCUUGGAACAGGACGCCUUAGAGGGUGAGAGCCCCGUACGGUUGGAUGCCGAGCCUUUGUAAAUCUCCUUCGACGAGUCGAGUAGUUUGGGAAUGCUGCUCUAAAUGGGAGGUAAAUUUCUUCUAAAGCUAAAUACCGGCCAGAGACCGAUAGCGCACAAGUAGAGUGAUCGAAAGAUGAAAAGCACUUUGAAAAGAGGGUUAAAUAGCACGGUAAAUUGUUGAAAGGGAAGGAUUUAUGACCAGACUUUUUCUAGGAGGAUCAUCCGGUGUUCUCACCGGUGCACUUCUUCUAGUCUAGGCCAGCAUCGACUUUCGGCGGUGGAUAAAAGCUUUGGGAAUGUGGCUCCUUUCGGGGAGUGUUAUAGCCUAUUGUAUAAUACACUGCUGGGGGUCGAGGUACGCGCUUCUGCAAGGAUGCUGGCGUAAUGGUUAUCAAUCACCCGUCUUGAAACACGGACCAAGGAGUCGAACAUUUGUGCAAGUGUUUGGGUGUUAAACCCUCACGCGUAAUGAAAGUGAACGGAGGUGAGAGCCCUUACGGGUGCAUCAUCGACCGAUCCUGAUGUUUUCGGAUGGAUUUGAGUAAGAGCAUAACUGUUCGGACCCGAAAGAUGGUGAACUAUGCGUGGAUAGGGUGAAGCCAGAGGAAACUCUGGUGGAGGCUCGCAGCGGUUCUGACGUGCAAAUCGAUCGUCAAAUCUGCGCAUGGGGGCGAAAGACUAAUCGAACCAUCUAGUAGCUGGUUACCG
rnacentral:rRNA from 1 species